ACGGGUGAGUAAUACAUCGGAACGUGUCUUCUAGUGGGGGAUAACUGCCCGAAAGGGCAGCUAAUACCGCAUGAGACCUGAGGGUGAAAGCGGGGGAUCGCAAGACCUCGCGCUGGAAGAGCGGCCGAUGUCCGAUUAGCUAGUUGGUGAGGUAAAGGCUCACCAAGGCGACGAUCAGUAGCCGACCUGAGAGGGUGACCGGCCACAUUGGGACUGAGACACGGCCCAG
rnacentral:rRNA from 1 species